GGCUUCUGCAUGUUGUUAUCUGUUUCAGCAAUUCUCUAACUUCAAACUCAAAGAAUCCACAGAGAAAAGUGACAGUGAUAAAGGACAAGAGAUGAUUUCUCAAGUGAUGGACAAUGUAAAGCCUUGGUCUUAAGAGAUAGGCUAUUGGGCAGUUGCUGGUCCUUUAAAAAAAAAAAAAUCACAGAAUUACACAGAAUUUCAGGGGUUGGAAGGGACAUUUGGGUAUCAUUGAGUCCAACUCCUGGAUAAAGCAGGUUCCCUACAGUAGGUUGCACAGGAAAGAAGAAGAAAAAUAAGAAGAUGAAGAAAAAGAAAGGAAAUUGAAAUAUUUUCCAGGAUGCACACCCACAGAAAAGAUGAUGAUGAAUGAUCAACAAACUAACUAUUUCGCUAAGAGAAAAUCACUGUAAGAAGAGAGGUAUCUAUUGAAGCAAGUAUUCUUGUGAUUUAUCACACCACUCGUUCCUAUUGUUCACUCCUUCUACUAAAGCUAUACUAUUCCAGCAAAUCACCAGAUUUUUUUUUUCAAAUAUUAUAAGCCAUGCUUACCGACACAACAUGAAAACCACAACCACAAUGAAAGGCUUCAGUGCUGUAGAACGUCACUUAAUGAUGUGUGCAUGCCUGCUAAAGAUGGAGCAAAAGCUGAGAAUAUUUGUCUAACCAUUAAUUUUUAGAAUUACUGAAAAGCAGUUUCAAAUUCACUAAGAAUCACAACACUGACUUGAAAAGGAAUCCGGACAAGAGUCUUACCGUCACCAUGGAUACAAGUAGUGUGGACUCAGGGUUUAAGCAAUGAAACUAGAACUUCG
ensembl:lncRNA